UUUUCUUAAAGCUAUUUUGUCUACUGUGUAAAAGAAAAAAAAUUUCCAUCUGUUAUGGUAUGAAAGUUAUUGUUGUUUUGUAUAAUACAAACUUUCUCAUAAUCUUUGGGAUAAUAUGGCAAAUAAUAUGGUAUAAUAUGGCAUAACUGAACAAAGUGGUAUUAUUGAAAGUUUAAUACACGUAAAAUACAAUUUAGUCAGAAUUAAAAUGAAUAUAUGUGAAAAAAAACAUCAACGUAAAAAACCUAUUUGAGAAUUUCCACUCAAUUUGUAAUCGUCCUCAAGAAACGUCCUCAAAGAAUGUUUUUUUCUUCAUAACGUUUUAAUAACCUUCACAAAUCUGAAACUACUUCCAUGUAUUCGAGUGAAAAUGGAUAUAAUAUUUCUUCAAAGUCAACCAUUCAAGUUAAAAUUUAGCAGUAGUGUUGGUGUCAGCUGGAAAACUCUUGGAAAAUAUUUGUCGAUUAAAGAUAGUUACUUAGAUAUAAUAGAGCAAAGCUUUAUUGGUAUUGAAAAUCAAGCUUAUCAAAUGUUAACGAAAUGGAUAGAAAUAAAUGAAAAUCCAACUAUGGAUGAUCUAACAACAGCAUUAAAAAAUAUGGAGAGGGUUGACUUAAUAAGAGUAUUAGAUGAAAUAAAAAAUUCUUUAACUUCUGGUAAAUUGAUUGCUAGAAGUAUUUCAUUAGAAAGAGAUGUAUCGGAGGUGUGUUUAGCAUUGAAAAACUUUUAUCUUAAAACUUUUGAUAAAAUUGAUGAGCUUCGACCACCAUCAAAAAUACCUUGUAAAGUAAACAUAUUAAAUAAAUUUGUAGAGCUAUGUGUUGUUGAUGCAAUUGAUGUUCAAAAAGAUGUUGGGUACGGUGUUGAACUAAAACGAUUUUUAGAGAAACAAAUGAGUUAUACGCCAAUACCAUAUAAACAAUUUGUUAAAGAAGAAUCUUCUAUAUUAAUUUCUGGCAUUGCUGGAAUUGGUAAAACAUGGUUGCUUAGAAAAUGUUUGCUCGAUUGGUCAAGUGGUUUAAUAUGGAAAAAUGUAUAUUUUUUGUUUUAUUUAGAAUGCAGGCAGUUAAACCAGUACCAAAACAUUUCCAACAUAAAUGAAUUACUUAAUGUUUUGUACAAAGAUAUAUUAAAGGAAUUUGAUAUAUAUAGCCAUUCUAUUAUGUUUAUCAUUGAUGGCUUAGAUGAAUUUAAAUAUUUAAAUGAAUUAAUUACAGACAAAUGUGAAUACCCAAUUUUGAAUGUUUUUGCAGAACUUAAAAAAUAUAGAUCUUUAAUUUCUGGUAGAGUUAGUGCAAUAGACCAGUACCAAAAUAUGUUUAUACAGUGUAAUAACUAUUUAACAAUUCAAGUAAUGGGUUUUAAUGAAAAUGGAAUAAAUGAUUUUAUCGAAAAUAAUGUCACUAAAGAAACAAAAGACAUUUUAACACAAGUUUUUAUAAAAUUUUCUAUUGCAAAAUCUAUGGCAACCGUUCCAUUUUAUUUAUCUUUAAUGUGUAAAAUUAUUUCUGAAUCAAAACAAAAAGAUGAAUAUUCAUUCUUAAACAUGACAGAGUUGUAUGCAAGUAUUUUUUUGCAUUUUUUGCAAAAGCAUAUUAGUAAAAAAACAGAAACUAUUUUUAAGAUGAUGGAAAGUGAUAUUAAUAAAAAAUUUGUUUUCAACAUUUGCAAAAUAGCGUAUUGUUUGUUCAAUGAAAACAAAGUAAUUUUUUCGAGAGAAGAAAUUCAAAAUAUUAUUAGUGAUUUUAAUAAAGUUGAAGGUGAAUUUGAUGGCUUCAUAGAAAAAAUUGAAACAAACCUUGGCUUUCAUUAUCAGUUUGUUCACUUAACAAUAAUGGAGUUUUGUACCUCUGUAUAUGCAUACAAUAAUUUUAGUGGUAAAGAGAUUAUGGCCAACAAAAGACUUAGAAGCUGUUUACCAAUGAUUUUUGGGCUAACUAACGAAAAUCCAAAUUUUUUAUUGAAAUUUUUAACAAAUCUAAAUUCUUUUAACACAAAUAAAAUAUCCUUAAAUAAUAUUUGUGAAUUGUUUCCAAAAGAAAAAGUAGGCUAUUACAUGAAUCUGAAAUAAAAUUUUGCAGCCUUCUCAGCAAUAGUGAUCCUCUCGGCCCUGGGGAUGAAAAUACAGACUUAAACUGUGGAUUUGAGUUGAUUUUGAAACUCAAAAAGUAUUUAUGGAAUGUUUUUAUGAAUCUCAAGCAAUCAUCAAAGAAGACGUAAAAACAUCAAUAAUUGAUAUAAUAGAUAAGCAUGAGUGGAGUAUUUGUUUGGAUAAUGGAAAAACUUUUUAUGAAGUAUCAUGUCAAAUCUAUUUUAUAAAACAAUUUAUAAAU
rnacentral:misc_RNA from 1 species